rnacentral:rRNA from 1 species
UACGUAGGGGGCAAGCGUUGUCCGGAAUCAUUGGGCGUAAAGAGCGUGUAGGCGGCUCGAUAAGUCUGCUGUGAAAGUCCAGGGCUCAACCCUGGAAGGCCGGUGGAAACCGUCUGGCUAGAGUCCGGAAGAGGAGGAGUGGAAUUCCUGGUGUAGCGGUGGAAUGCGUAGAUAUCUGGAGGAACACCAAUUGCGAAGGCAGCUCGCUGGGACGUUACUGACGCUGAGACGCGAAAGCGUGGGGAGCAAACAGGG